rnacentral:rRNA from 1 species
UACGGAGGGUGCAAGCGUUACUCGGAAUCACUGGGCGUAAAGGGCGUGUAGGCGGGGACGCAAGUCAGAUGUGAAAACCACGGGCUCAACCUGUGGCCUGCAUUUGAAACUGUGUUUCUUGAGUACUGGAGAGGCAGACGGAAUUCCUAGUGUAGCGGUGAAAUGCUUAGAUAUCACGAAGAACUCCGAUUGCGAAGGCAGCUCACUGGACUGCAACUGACACUGAGGCUCGAAAGUGUGGGUAUCAAACAGG